CCUACGGGAGGCAGCAGUGGGGAAUAUUGGGCAAUGGGCGCAAGCCUGAACCAGCAACGCAGCGUGAAGGAAGAAGGCUCUAGGGUUGUAAACUUCUUUUGUCAGGGACGAAGCAAGUGACGGUACCUGGCGAAUAAGCAACGGCUAACUACGUGCCAGCAGCCGCGGUAAUACGUAGGUGGCAAGCGUUAUCCGGAUUUACUGGGUGUAAAGGGCGUGUAGGCGGGGAAGCAAGUCAGAUGUGAAAACCACGGGCUCAACCUGUGGCCUGCAUUUGAAACUGUUUUUCUUGAGUGCUGGAGAGGCAAUCGGAAUUCCGUGUGUAGCGGUGAAAUGCGUAGAUAUACGGAGGAACACCAGUGGCGAAGGCGGAUUGCUGGACAGUAACUGACGCUGAGGCGCGAAAGCGUGGGGAGCAAACAGGAUUAGAUACCCUUGUAGUC
rnacentral:rRNA from 1 species